rnacentral:lncRNA from 1 species
GGGCUUGAAGUAUAGAUUCUAUGGAAAUGACGUAUCAUCAUAAUAACGAGUUACAGUAUUCUUUUAUUUGUCUUUGUUAAUUAAUACUUUACUGUGUAGUAUUAUUUUGGUAAUAUCCAUUUGACGUGGCUCGGUACUUAUGCAUCCCGUCAUUGUGUUAUUGUACUAUGGUAAAUGUUUGUACUCUUGUCUUUCGUUUUUUGCUAAUGUACUUUGUCUAUAUGCAUUUUUUUCUUUGUUGGCAUUUUUUUGUUGGCAUAUUUGUUCGUUUCUUAGUGAUUACGACUAUACUACAAAUUAUGUUGACUGUUGUUAUCCCGAUUUUAACAUUUUUACCUAUGAUAUCUGUUUGUUUUGUUCACACAAUUUUGUCAAUAUAUGGAAUUUAAUGCGACUAUUAUACAAGUGAGAGAUUUUGCUAGCUAUAAAACCAGGAAAAAUCAACCAUUUUCUACAUACAAAAAUGCCUGUACCAAGUCAGAAAUAUGACAGAAGUUAUCCAUUCGUUUGAUGUGUUUGAGCUUUUGAUUUUGCUGUUUGCUUAGGGACUUUCUGUUUAGAAUUUUCCUCGGAAUUCCGUAUUUUUGUUAUUUUAUUUUUGACUGUUUUUUUUCAAAUUUUUGACAAUUUUCCCUUUUAUGGCUGUUAUAAACAUAUAAACUAUAAACUUAAAUAUACCAUUUAGUAUAAAAUUGAGAAAGGAAAUGGGGAAUGUGUCAAAGCGACAACAACCCGACCAUAGAGCAGACAACAGCCGAAGGCCACCAAUGGGUCUUCAAUGUAGCGAGAAUUCC